rnacentral:rRNA from 1 species
GACGUAGGGCGCGAGCGUUGUCCGGAUUUAUUGGGCGUAAAGAGCUCGUAGGCGGCUUGUUGCGUCGACUGUGAAAACCCGCGGCUUAACUGCGGGCUUGCAGUUGAUACGGGCAGGCUAGAGUUCGGUAGGGGAGACUGGAAUUCCUGGUGUAGCGGUGAAAUGCGCAGAUAUCAGGAGGAACACCGAUGGCGAAGGCAGCUCGCUGGGACGGUACUGACGCUGAGACGCGAAAGCGUGGGGAGCGAACAGG